AUUGAACGCUGGCGGCAGGCCUAACACAUGCAAGUCGAACGGUGAAAGCGGAGCUUGCUCCGCUGGAUCAGUGGCGAACGGGUGAGUAACACGUGGGCAACCUGCCCCUGACUUCGGGAUAACUCCUCGAAAGAGGUGCUAAUACCGGAUACGAAUCCUGCAGGCAUCUGCGGGAUUGGAAAGUUUUUCGGUCAGGGAUGGGCCCGCGGCCUAUCAGCUUGUUGGUGAGGUAGUGGCUCACCAAGGCGACGACGGGUAGCCGGCCUGAGAGGGCGACCGGCCACACUGGGACCGAGACACGGCCCAGACUCCUACGGGAGGCAGCAGUGGGGAAUAUUGCGCAAUGGGCGAAAGCCUGACGCAGCAACGCCGCGUGAGGGAUGACGGCCUUCGGGUUGUAAACCUCUUUCAGCAGGGAAGAAGCGAAAGUGACGGUACCUGCAGAAGAAGCACCGGCUAACAACGUGCCAGCCGCCGCGGUAAUAC
rnacentral:rRNA from 1 species